UACGGGGGGGGCAAGCGUUGUUCGGAAUUACUGGGCGUAAAGGGCUCGUAGGUGGCCAACUAAGUCAGACGUGAAAUCCCUCAGCUUAACUGGGGAACUGCGUCUGAUACUGGAUGGCUUGAGUUUGGGAGAGGGAUGCGGAAUUCCAGGUGUAGCGGUGAAAUGCGUAGAUAUCUGGAGGAACACCAGCGGCGAAGGCGGCAUCCUGGACUGGUCCUGACACUCAGGAGCGAAAGCGUGGGGAGCGAUCCGG
rnacentral:rRNA from 1 species